CUUGAACGCUGGCGGCAUGCUUUACACAUGCAAGUCGAACGGUAACAGGGUGCUUGCACCGCUGACGAGUGGCGAACGGGUGAGUAAUGCGUCGGAAUGUACCGUGUAAUGGGGGAUAGCUCGGCGAAAGCCGGAUUAAUACCGCUUUAGCCCUCAGGGGGAAAGCGGGGGAUCGAAAGACCUCGCGUUAUACGAGCAGCCGUCGUCUGAUUAGCUAGUUGGUGAGGUAAGAGCUCACCAAGGCGACGAUCAGUAGCGGGUCUGAGAGGAAUCGACGCCACACUGGGACUGAGACACGGCCCAUGACCUACGGGAGGCUAGCAGUGGGGAAUUUUGGACAAUGGGGGCAACCCUGAUCCAGCCAUGCCGCGUGUCUGAAGAAGGCCUUCGGGUUGUAAAGGACUUUUGUCAGGGAGGAAAUCCCGCUGGUUAAUACCCGGCGGGGAUGACAGUACCUGAAGAAUAAGCACCGGCUAACUACGUGCCAGCAGCCGCGGUAAUACGUAGGGUGCGAGCGAAAACCAGAAUUACUGGGCGUAAAGCGUGCGCAGGCGGUUGUGCAAGUCUGAUGUGAAAGCCCCGGGCUUAACCUGGGAACGGCAUUGGAGACUGCACAGCUAGAGUGCGUCAGAGGGGGGUAGAAUUCCACGUGUAGCAGUGAAAUGCGUAGAGAUGUGGAGGAAUACCGAUGGCGAAGGCAGCCCCCUGGGAUGACACUGACGCUCAUGCACGAAAGCGUGGGGAGCAAACAGGAUUAGAUACCCUGGUAGUCCACGCCCUAAACGAUGUCAACUAGCUGUUGGGGGUUUGAAUCCUUGGUAGCGUCUGUAACGCGUGAAGUUGACCGCCUGGGGAGUAUCGCCGCAAGGUUAAAACUCAAAGGAAUUGACGGGGACCCGCACAAGCGGUGGAUGAUGUGGAUUAAUUCGAUGCAACGCGAAAAACCUUACCUGCUCUUGACAUGUACGGAACUUGCCAGAGAUGGCUUGGUGCCCGAAAGGGAGCCGUAACACAGGUGCUGCAUGGCUGUCGUCAGCUCGUGUCGUGAGAUGUUGGGUUAAGUCCCGCAACGAGCGCAACCCUUGUCAUUAGUUGCCAUCAUUCAGUUGGGCACUCUAAUGAGACUGCCGGUGACAAACCGGAGGAAGGUGGGGAUGACGUCAAGUCCUCAUGGCCCUUAUGAGCAGGGCUUCACACGUCAUACAAUGGUCGGUACAGAGGGUUGCCAAGCCGCGAGGUGGAGCUAAUCUCAGAAAACCGAUCGUAGUCCGGAUCGCACUCUGCAA
rnacentral:rRNA from 1 species